rnacentral:tRNA from 1 species
UAGCAUAAUGGUUAUGCAAAAGCCUUCAGUGCUUAAGACUCUGGGGUCCCAGGUUCAAUCCCUGG